rnacentral:rRNA from 1 species
GAGAAACGAAACAAGUGAUGUGGAGUAAAACUUAGAAAAACGGUACUCAGUUCGGAUUGAAGGCUGAAAUUCGCCUACAUGAAGCUGGAGUUGCUAGUAAUCGCGAAUCAGCAUGUCGCGGUGAAUACGUUCCCGGGCCUUGUACACACCGCCCGUCACACCAUGAGAGUUGGCAAUACCCAACGUACGUGAUCUAACCCGCAAGGGAGGAAGCGUCCUAAGGUAGGGUCAGCGAUUGGGGUGAAGUCGUAACAAGGUACC